GAUGAACGCUAGCGACAGGCUUAACACAUGCAAGUCGAGGGGCAGCGGGGUUGAAGCUUGCUUCAACUGCCGGCGACCGGCGCACGGGUGAGUAACACGUAUGCAACCUGCCCGUCACAGGGGAAUAACCGGAAGAAAUUCCGACUAAUUCCGCGUAACACUGUUUUUAGGCAUCUGAAGACAGUCAAAGGAGAGAUCCGGUGACGGAUGGGCAUGCGGCGCAUUAGCUAGUCGGCGGGGUAACGGCCCACCGAGGCGACGAUGCGUAGGGGUUCUGAGAGGAAGGUCCCCCACACUGGUACUGAGACACGGACCAG
rnacentral:rRNA from 1 species